rnacentral:rRNA from 1 species
AUUGAACGCUAGCGGGAUGCUUUACACAUGCACGUCGAACGGCAGCGCGGACUUCGGUCUGGCGGCGAGUGGCGAACGGGUGAGUAAUGUAUCGGAACGUGCCCAGUAGCGGGGGAUAACUACGCGAAAGCGUAGCUAAUACCGCAUACGCCCUACGGGGGAAAGCAGGGGAUCGUAAGACCUUGCACUAUUGGAGCGGCCGUUAUCGGAUUAGCUAGUUGGUGAGGUAACGGCUCACCAAGGCGACGAUCCGUAGCUGGUUUGAGAGGACGACCAGCCACACUGGGACUGAGACACGGCCCAGACUCCUACGGGAGGCAGCAGUGGGGAAUUUUGGACAAUGGGGGCAACCCUGAUCCAGCCACCCCGCGUGUGCGAUGAAGGCCUUCGGGUUGUAAAGCACUUUUGGCAGGAAAGAAACGUCGCGGGCUAAUACCCCGUGGAACUGACGGUACCUGCAGAAUAAGCACCGGCUAACUACGUG